AUUGAACGCUGGCGGCAUGCCUUACACAUGCAAGUCGAACGGUAACAGGUUAAGCUGACGAGUGGCGAACGGGUGAGUAAUACAUCGGAACGUGCCCAGACGUGGGGGAUAGCUCGGCGAAAGCCGGAUUAAUACCGCAUGUGCUCUGAGGAGGAAAGCGGGGGAUCGCAAGACCUCGCGCGUUUGGAGCGGCCGAUGGCAGAUUAGGUAGUUGGUGGGGUAAAGGCUUACCAAGCCUACGAUCUGUGGCUGGUCUGAGAGGACGACCAGCCACACUGGGACUGAGACACGGCCCAGACUCCUACGGGAGGCAGCAGUGGGGAAUUUUGGACAAUGGGCGAAAGCCUGAUCCAGCAAUGCCGCGUGCAGGAUGAAGGCCUUCGGGUUGUAAACUGCUUUUGUACGGAACGAAAAGGCGCCUACUAAUACUGGGCGUUGAUGACGGUACCGUAAGAAUAAGCACCGGCUAACUACGUGCCAGCCGCCGCAGUAAUAC
rnacentral:rRNA from 1 species